ACCUCUGAUUGGUCAGGUGGUUGAUGACUCUUACCUGAUUGGUCAGGUGGUUGAUGACUCUUACCUGAUUGGUCAGGUGGUUGAUGACUCUUACUCUGAUUGGUCAGGUGGUUGAUGACUCUUACCUCUGAUUGGUCAGGUGGUUGAUGACUCUUACCUGAUUGGUCAGGUGCUUGAUGACUCUUACCUCUGAUUGGUCAGGUGGUUGAUGACUCUUACCUGAUUGGUCAGGUGGUUGAUGACUCUUAUCUGUGAUUGGUCAGGUGGUUGAUGACUCUUAUCUGUGAUUGGUCAGGUGGUUGAUGACUCUUACCUGAUUGGUCAGGUGCUUGAUGACUCUUAUCUGAUUGGACAGGUGGUUGAUGACUCUUAUCUCUGAUUGGUCAGGUGGUUGAUGACUCUUACCUCUGAUUGGUCAGGUGGUUGAUGACUCUUAUCUGAUUGGACAGGUGGUUGAUGACUCUUAUCUCUGAUUGGUCAGGUGGUUGAUGACUCUUACCUCUGAUUGGUCAGGUGGUUGAUGACUCAUCUCUGAUUGGUCAGGUGGUUGAUGACUCUUAUCUGAUUGGUCAGGUGGUUGAUGACUCUUAUCUGUGAUUGGUCAGGUGGUUGAUGACUCUUAUCUGAUUGGUCAGGUGGAUGAUGACUCUUAUCUGAUUGGUCAGGUGGUUGAUGACUCAUCUCUGAUUGGUCAGGUGGUUGAUGACUCUUAUCUGUGAUUGGUCAGGUGGUUGAUGACUCUUAUCUGUGAUUGGUCAGGUGGUUGAUGACUCUUACCUGAUUGGUCAGGUGCUUGAUGACUCUUAUCUGAUUGGACAGGUGGUUGAUGACUCUUAUCUCUGAUUGGUCAGGUGGUUGAUGACUCUUACCUCUGAUUGGUCAGGUGGUUGAUGACUCUUAUCUGAUUGGUCAGGUGGUUGUUGACUCUUAUCUGAUUGGUCAGGUGGUUGAUGACUCUUAUCUGAU